GUGGGGAAUAUUGGGCAAUGGGCGAAAGCCCGACCCAGCAACGCCGCGUGAAGGAAGAAGGUCUUCGGAUCGUAAACUUCUAUCCUUGGUGAAGAUAAUGACGGUAGCCGAGAAGGAAGCCCCGGCUAACUACGUGCCAGCAGCCGCGGUAAUACGUAGGGGGCAAGCGUUGUCCGGAAUGAUUGGGCGUAAAGGGCGCGUAGGCGGCCUGGUAAGUCUGGAGUGAAGGUCCUGCUUUAAAGGUGGGAAUUGCUUUGGAUACUGUCGGGCUUGAGUGCAGGAGAGGUAAGUGGAAUUCCCGGUGUAGCGGUGAAAUGCGUAGAGAUCGGGAGGAACACCAGUGGCGAAGGCGACUUACUGGACUGUAACUGACGCUGAGGCGCGAAAGUGUGGGGAGCAAACAGGAUUAGAAACCCUAGUAGUCC
rnacentral:rRNA from 1 species